rnacentral:lncRNA from 1 species
AUCGAGCUCUCCGUUGGGCGGGGCAUGGCCCAUGAAGUCGCCCCCGGUACUCCGCCCAUACAACCAAACACUGACACAAAACGUUGCACGUCUGGGCCCAUGUAAACCACGACACUUCCGUGUGGAUUGGCUACCCGCCAAACGUUGGCGCAGAAAACAGACAGGCCAUUGUAGUAUGGCAUCAAACCACGCAUAACCCACAGCGGCUUUCAGCAGCAGUACUGCUUGGUGAAUGUGACCAGCCGUGUACUCUGUUGCGCAUCUCUGGAAAAACAGGCUCUGAUAGCUUGCACCACCCUGCACCCCAAAAGGCGGGUUGACAAACACAUUGCCCAUCCACGCGUUGCACUCCAACAGACCAUCGGAUUCCAUAUCGUAAUACACUGUCGCCCCAACACGUGUGUUAGCAGCCGCGGACAAGCAUGGGUCCAGGUCGAUCCUGCCAGGAGUGAACACCUCGCGCACCAGCUUUAUGAUACUCAGUGGGGUGAACCACUCCGGACUCUCACUGGAGAGAAACAGGCGCACAUUCCCACCCCCUCCGCUUCGAACCAUAUGGACUCCCUCACCAGACUCGCUAUCGCUGAUAUCCAUGUCGCCACGUCGGGGCUGACGAUGCGCUGUGCCUCCGGAUCCAUGUUGGGACCAACGGUGCGCGCUCCAGGUGCAGGAGUGGGUGAAGUGCGCGGUAAGAUGCGGCGCCCACUGUCUACGGCAUUGGGCUGCUGCUCUCGCCGACGUGUGCGCCUGUGCUGAAACUGGCUGUAGAGGCGCUGAUACUCAUCCUCUGCCGCCUCGUCCGACAUGCCAUAUAGAUGCAUGCGCAUGUCAGGUGGCCAGGCACAGCUGACGUCUCGCACUCCAGGUGGUGGCAUGGGCCGCGCGACAAGGCCACCCUGCUGGGUGAGCCGCUGUGUCUCUUGCUUGCACGCCAUCAUGUGCUGGCGUGUUUUGACGUGGUUGAUAAUAUUCUCGAUGUUGCCAGUCUUAGCACCGANNNNNNNNNNNNNNNNNNNNNNNNNNNNNNNNNNNNNNNNNNNNNNNNNNCGAAUUGGCUGUCAGUUGGCAGGAUUGGCCGGGGCUGGCAUCCAAAAGCACAUGACUUUUAAGGAAUUUACAGAAAAACUUUGCAAGAGGACCGCUUACAAGUGCCUCAUGUGUGUAUUAGAUUCGAUCCCACGACAUGGAGUGGAAAAACUUGCACACCUGGUUACCGUACUCUGGCACUACUACUACUACCGGAGGCAAGCACUCAGGGCCACGACUGCAUUACCCAGUCAAGUCAGCUGCCGAGGUCCCACUGUUUUCCCACCACACUUUAUCGACAGUCCGUCCAGUUUAUCCCACAACACUCGUAUGCAUGAAUAGGUUCGGGUGGAAACAAUGACAAAUCUCUGAUAAACCGCUAAACUCAGUACCACGAGCUACAUUGAAAACAAAUGAAAAUGCAGAUGUCUGCCGAGAAGAAUAUGUUCGCCAUAUGCAAUCUAUGCCUUAAUCCAUCGAGCUCUCCGUUGGGCGGGGCAUGGCCCAUGAAGUCGCCCCCGGUACUCCGCCCAUACAACCAAACACUGACACAAAACGUUGCACGUCUGGGCCCAUGUAAACCACGACACUUCCGUGUGGAUUGGCUACCCGCCAAACGUUGGCGCAGAAAACAGACAGGCCAUUGUAGUAUGGCAUCAAACCACGCAUAACCCACAGCGGCUUUCAGCAGCAGUACUGCUUGGUGAAUGUGACCAGCCGUGUACUCUGUUGCGCAUCUCUGGAAAAACAGGCUCUGAUAGCUUGCACCACCCUGCACCCCAAAAGGCGGGUUGACAAACACAUUGCCCAUCCACGCGUUGCACUCCAACAGACCAUCGGAUUCCAUAUCGUAAUACACUGUCGCCCCAACACGUGUGUUAGCAGCCGCGGACAAGCAUGGGUCCAGGUCGAUCCUGCCAGGAGUGAACACCUCGCGCACCAGCUUUAUGAUACUCAGUGGGGUGAACCACUCCGGACUCUCACUGGAGAGAAACAGGCGCACAUUCCCACCCCCUCCGCUUCGAACCAUAUGGACUCCCUCACCAGACUCGCUAUCGCUGAUAUCCAUGUCGCCACGUCGGGGCUGACGAUGCGCUGUGCCUCCGGAUCCAUGUUGGGACCAACGGUGCGCGCUCCAGGUGCAGGAGUGGGUGAAGUGCGCGGUAAGAUGCGGCGCCCACUGUCUACGGCAUUGGGCUGCUGCUCUCGCCGACGUGUGCGCCUGUGCUGAAACUGGCUGUAGAGGCGCUGAUACUCAUCCUCUGCCGCCUCGUCCGACAUGCCAUAUAGAUGCAUGCGCAUGUCAGGUGGCCAGGCACAGCUGACGUCUCGCACUCCAG